GUUCUCUCUCUGGCAAUGCCUGUUCUAAAAUUGGAAUGAAACAGAGAAGAUUAGCAUGGCCCUGCACGAUUGAUGACAUGCAAAUUCGUGAAAUGUUCCAUCUUUAA
ensembl:snRNA U6 U6 spliceosomal RNA